AUCGAGUGCAGUUCAAUUUAAUUUUGCAUCGAGUUGAAGUGACGGGCAGAAUUUCCGGAUUAGCUUAAAUAUAGCGCUAAAUCCUGUUUAUGGGUUUGGCGCUCUGUGUCAGAUAUUGGAUCCGGUCUUUGCUUUGUAGAGGGAAUAAUACCUCAAGAUACCCAAAGGAGAGCGAAUUCAUCCUACAGAAGGGAAAUUAUCGUCACCCAAAGGGAUCUCAAAAGCCUAAAAGUCACUCAAGUUUUAUUUAUUUAAUAAAAAAAAAAGGAAAAGUGUCAAAGAGAGCUCAAGUUUCAACACCUUCCCAAAUUACACCUAUAUUGCAUUUAUUCGUCAUCUUCAUUAUCUUCGUUAUCUCCCACAAGCGAGCGUGAAUUGCCGAAGCUCAGCUUGGCAGGCAGUUUUUCGGCGCGCUGACGUAGGCAAGACGCUUCGGUCCACGAUCGGUCUAAUUUAAUUCAACUCGGCAUAACAAUAUAAAAUAAUAGUUUUAAGUUAGUACCGCUAGAAAUGUAAAGAAAUAAGUAAAAAACGGAUAAUUUACAUAUAUGUAAGUUCAUUUAUAAUUUUUUUUUGUCUAGGUUAAGUGAAAUGAGCAUGUGAGUGUAAUAGAAAAAAAGGGAAAGAGGAAAAUGUGGUGAUAGUUAAAAGGCCAGGCUUUUGUGAGAGGCUAAAGGCUUAGGCCUUUUAAUUUUGUUUGGUGGUUAAAUGAAAAAGAAUGUGUUAAAAGAAGCCUAAAGGAAAAAGUGAGAGAAAUGGCUGUUGGUUUUGCACAGUGGGCUUUUAGUGUAUAUGUAUAUGGAUAUACAUAUGGAUCUCCCGAAUAGUGUCCAUAAAGGAAAAAGAAAAGAGAGCGAUAUUAUCAUCUCUCUCGACUCUCGAAUUUAUGAGUGAGACAAAUUUUGAAAGAAGGAAAACCACUCUAUUUGAUUUCGCCGAAAGCUCAUCACUGCAA